rnacentral:rRNA from 1 species
GUCUCAGUACAUGCCGAAUUAAGGUGAAACCGCGAAUGGCUCAUUAAAUCAGUUAUGGUUCAUUAGAUCGUGGACACAUUUACUUGGAUAACUGUGGUAAUUCUAGAGCUAAUACAUGCAAACAGAAUUCCUCUCAGAGAUGGGAGGAAUGCUUUUAUUAGAUCAAAACCAAUCGGUGGCGGACGGCUCGUCCGUUCGUCCAUCGUUUGUUUUGGUGACUCUGAAUAACUUUGUGCUGAUCGCAUGGUCAUCUAGCACCGGCGACGCAUCUUUCAAAUGUCUGCCUUAUCAACUGUCGAUGGUAGGUUCUGCGCCUACCAUGGUUGUAACGGGUAACGGGGAAUCAGGGUUCGAUUCCGGAGAGGGAGCCUGAGAAACAGCUACCACAUCCAAGGAAGGCAGCAGGCGCGCAAAUUACCCACUCCCGGCACGGGGAGGUAGUGACGAAAAAUAACGAUACGGGACUCAUCCGAGGCCCCGUAAUCGGAAUGAGUACACUUUAAAUCCUUUAACGAGGACCAAUUGGAGGGCAAGUCUGGUGCCAGCAGCCGCGGUAAUUCCAGCUCCAAUAGCGUAUAUUAAAGUUGUUGCGGUUAAAAAGCUCGUAGUUGAAUCUGUGUGUCACAGUGUCGGUUCACCGCUCGCGGUGUUUAACUGGCAUUAUGUGGUACGUCCUAUCGGUGGGCUUAGCUCCUUGCGGGCGGUCCAACUAAUAUCCCAUCGCGGUGCUCUUCACUGAGUGUCGAGGUGGGCCGAUACGUUUACUUUGAAAAAAUUAGAGUGCUUAAAGCAGGCUACCUUUGCCUGAAUACUGUGUGCAUGGAAUAAUGGAAUAGGACCUCGGUUCUAUUUUGUUGGUUUUCGGAACCCCGAGGUAAUGAUUAAUAGGGACAGAUGGGGGCAUUCGUAUUGCGACGUUAGAGGUGAAAUUCUUGG